rnacentral:rRNA from 1 species
AUUGAACGCUGGCGGCAGGCUUAACACAUGCAAGUCGAGCGGGGUGAUGGUGCUUGCACUAUCACUUAGCGGCGGACGGGUGAGUAAUGCUUAGGAAUCUGCCUAUUAGUGGGGGACAACAUCUCGAAAGGGAUGCUAAUACCGCAUACGUCCUACGGGAGAAAGCAGGGGAUCACCUGUGACCUUGCGCUAAUAGAUGAGCCUAAGUCGGAUUAGCUAGUUGGUGGGGUAAGGGCCUACCAAGGCGACGAUCUGUAGCGGGUCUGAGAGGAUGAUCCGCCACACUGGGACUGAGACACGGCCCAGACGCCUACGGGAGGCAGCAGUGGGGAAUAUUGGACAAUGGGGGGAACCCUGAUCCAGCCAUGCCGCGUGUGUGAAGAAGGCCUUAUGGUUGUAAAGCACUUUAAGCGAGGAGGAGGCUCUUUUGGUUAAUACCCAAGAUGAGUGGACGUUACUCGCAGAAUAAGCACCGGCUAACUCUGUGCCAGCCGCCGCAGUAA